GCCAGGCAUGGUGGCACGCGCCUGUAAUUCCAGCUGCUCUGGAGCGAGAGGAGAUCCUGACCAGGGUUCCGGCUUUCCUGGUUCACAAGUUGGCACUAGUGCUUCCUGGAGCAGGAGACCACCAGGUUACCUAAGGAGAGGUGAACUGGCCUAGGUUGGAAACAGAACAGGUCAAAACUCCUGUGCUGAUCAGUAGUGGGAUUGCGCCUAUGAAUAGCCAUUGCACCAUUGCACUCC
rnacentral:lncRNA from 1 species